CCUACGGGUGGCAUCAGUGGGGAAUAUUGGACAAUGGGGGCAACCCUGAUCCAGCCAUGCCGCGUGUGUGAAGAAGGCCCUCGGGUUGUAAAGCACUUUCAGUGAGGAAGAACGCCUGGUGGUUAAUACCCAUCAGGAAAGACAUCACUCACAGAAGAAGCACCGGCUAACUCCGUGCCAGCAGCCGCGGUAAUACGGAGGGUGCGAGCGUUAAUCGGAAUUACUGGGCGUAAAGCGCGCGUAGGUGGCUUGAUAAGCCGGUUGUGAAAGCCCCGGGCUCAACCUGGGAACGGCAUCCGGAACUGUCAAGCUAGAGUGCAGGAGAGGAAGGUAGAAUUCCCGGUGUAGCGGUGAAAUGCGUAGAGAUCGGGAGGAAUACCAGUGGCGAAGGCGGCCUUCUGGACUGACACUGACACUGAGGUGCGAAAGCGUGGGUAGCAAACAGGAUUAGAUACCCGGGUAGUC
rnacentral:rRNA from 1 species